UACGAAGGGGGCUAGCGUUGCUCGGAAUCACUGGGCGUAAAGCGCACGUAGGCGGACUCUUAAGUCGGUGGUGAAAUCCUGGAGCUCAACUCCAGAACUGCCUUCGAUACUGAGAGUCUCGAGUCCGAGAGAGGUGAGUGGAACUGCGAGUGUAGAGGUGAAAUUCGUAGAUAUUCGGAAGAACACCAGUGGCGAAGGCGGCUCACUGGCCCGGUACUGACGCUGAGGUGCGAAAGCGUGGGGAGCAAACAGG
rnacentral:rRNA from 1 species